rnacentral:rRNA from 1 species
GACGAACGCUGGCGGCGUGCUUAACACAUGCAAGUCGAACGGAGUGGCGAACGGGUGAGUAACACGUGGGUGACCUGCCCUGCACUUCGGGAUAAGCCUGGGAAACUGGGUCUAAUACCGGAUCGUGGGGGGUGGGGCCGCGGCCUAGCAGCUUGUUGGUGGGGUAAUGGCCUACCAAGGCGGCGACGGGGAGCCGGCCUGAGCGGGUGAACGGCCCCAGUGGGACUGGGACACGGCCCAGACUCUUACGGGAGGCAGCAGUGGGGAAUAGUGCACAAUGGGCGGAAGGCUGAUGCAGCGACGCCGCGUGGGGGAUGACGGCCUUCGGGUUGUAAACUCCUUUCACCAUCGACGCGGUAGAUGGAGAAGAAGCACCGGCUAACUACGUGCCAGCCGCCGCGGUAAUA